GGCGAGAUGGCCGAGCGGUCUAAGGCGCUGUGUUAAGGUGAAUCUUUCAGAUCUCCUCCGCAGUCUUCGGACGUGGGUUCGAAUCCCACUCUCGUCA
rfam:Trichosporon asahii var. asahii CBS 8904 unplaced genomic scaffold scaffold00105, whole genome shotgun sequence.